rnacentral:tRNA from 2 species
UCCUUAGUCGUCUAGAGGUUAGGACUCUGCACUUUUACUGCCGAGGACCCAGGUUCAAUCCCUGGUUGGGGAA